GGAGGAUUCGCCUAGUGGCCUAGGGCGCACGCUUGGAAAGCGUGUUGGGAGAAAUCCCUCAGGGGUUCAAAUCCCCUAUCCUCCGCCA
rnacentral:tRNA from 1 species